AUACGUAGGGGGCGAGCGUUGUCCGGAAUGAUUGGGCGUAAAGGGCGCGUAGGCGGCGCGGUAAGUCUGGAGUGAAAGUCCUGCUUUCAAGGUGGGAAUUGCUUUGGACACUGCCGCGCUUGAGUGCAGGAGAGGUUAUCGGAAUUCCCGGUGUAGCGGUGAAAUGCGUAGAUAUUAGGAGGAACACCAGUGGGGAAGGCGGAUUGCUGGACGGCAACUGACUGUGAGGCGCGAAAGUGUGGGGAGCAAACAGGAUUAGAUACCCUGGUAGUCCACACUGUAAACGAUGGAUACUAGGUGUGCGGGGACUGACCCCCUGCGUGCCGUCGUUAACACAAUAAGUAUCCCACCUGGGGAGUACGAUCGCAAGGUUGAAACUCAAAUGAAUUGGCGGGG
rnacentral:rRNA from 1 species